rnacentral:rRNA from 1 species
UGGGGAAUAUUGCACAAUGGGCGCAAGCCUGAUGCAGCCAUGCCGCGUGUGUGAAGAAGGCUUUCGGGUUGUAAAGCACUUUCAGUGGGGAGGAAAGGUUAUUGGUUAAUACCCAAUAGCUGUGACGUUACCCACAGAAGAAGCACCGGCUAACUCCGUGCCAGCAGCCGCGGUAAUACGGAGGGUGCGAGCGUUAAUCGGAAUUACUGGGCGUAAAGCGCGCGUAGGCGGUUAUCUAAGCUAGAUGUGAAAGCCCUGGGCUCAACCUGGGAAUGGCAUUUAGAACUGGAUGACUGGAGUACAGCAGAGGGGUGUGGAAUUUCCGGUGUAGCGGUGAAAUGCGUAGAGAUCGGAAGGAACAUCAGUGGCGAAGGCGACACCCUGGGUUGAUACUGACGCUGAGGUGCGAAAGCGUGGGGAGCAAACAGGAUUAGAUACCCCCGUAGUCC